CACAUUUUUAGCCUCACUGCUAUUUAUUGUAACUUCUCCAAUCACAGCGUCCAGGCAGAGGACAGCGGCGUCCACGUCGUGUAAUAAAAUCAACAGUUGGCUGAAAUCUCUCUGGCGGUGAAUGAAGACUGUGAAGACGACCUGGACCUCCCCGCCCUGAAGACCACAUUCUUGAGUGUCUUGAAGCCCAUGUAGACCUGUUUAUUGGUGGUUGGCUCGCAUUGUGAUUGUAUCUCAGCUGGUGUAACCUGCUGCAGGUAAGGAAGUGAUAAGUUACCUGAAGCAGGUUCGACCAGACAGUCAAGACUGAUGGAUUCUCCCUUCCUUUAUAAAUUUGCUUCCACCAUCAGUCCUCCAACACACCUCUACUGAUCUACCUGAACCCGUUCACACACAGGUCAUCGCGUCUCAUCAUGUCGGACUGCAGCAGAACUCGGGAUGAUGUGUUUACUCUCUUUCAAUUCCAAAUAGGCGACGAAUUACAGCAGACGAUCACGUUUUACGACAGGUGGGCGCUAACGUACAAUCAGGAUACAACGCUAAUUAACUACAGAGGAUUACAUCAUCUGUAGAUUUCCUGAACAAU